rnacentral:rRNA from 1 species
AAUAGAUACCCGGGUAGUCCACGCCGUAAACGAUGAGUGCUAAGUGUUAGAGGGUUUCCGCCCUUUAGUGCUGCAGCUAACGCAUUAAGCACUCCGCCUGGGGAGUACGGCCGCAAGGCUGAAACUCAAAGGAAUUGACGGGGGGCCCGCACAAGCGGUGGAGCAUGUGGCUUAAUUCGAAGCAACGCGAAGAACCUUACCAGGUCUUGACAUCCUCUGCCAACCCUAGAGAUAGGGCGUUCCCCUUCGGGGGGACAGAGUGACAGGUGGUGCAUGGUUGUCGUCAGCUCGUGUCGUGAGAUGUUGGGUUAAGUCCCGCAACGAGCGCAACCCUUGAUCUUAGUUGCCAGCAUUCAGUUGGGCACUCUAAGGUGACUGCCGGUGACAAACCGGAGGAAGGUGGGGAUGACGUCAAAUCAUCAUGCCCCUUAUGACCUGGGCUACACACGUGCUACAAUGGAUGGUACAAAGNGCUGCGAACCCGCGAGGGUAAGCCAAUCUCAAUAAAGCCAUUCUCAGUUCGGAUUGU